rnacentral:lncRNA from 1 species
GGACAGCAAUCCCAUAGCAGUCUGAAACACUGUAACAAAAAGAUCCAUUUCCUGAGGUGAUACCUCCCAUCUGAUGUGUGUCAGCACAGAUUGCCAUCCGUUCCUCCAGAUGAGCCUCCGUCUGCCUGCCCGCUCCUGAAGGAAAUAGCAAUCAUGACUGAAACAUUCUGAUGGCUGUGGAAAACACAUUUGCUGAAGUAUAAAAUAGAAAAGAGAAGUGAAAAAUAGAACUGGAAAGUUCUACUUUAGACUAGGAUGACUGCCAAUGCUUGCAAAAUAGUCAAAGAAAACAUGAACAAAGGAAGAAGGAAGAGGUGGUCAAAGGGCAAGAUACUUUGCAAUCAAGACCAUUUAUCGAAAGCGGAAAAUGUGUAAAAGUGCAAAUCCAUGAAAAUAGAGAACAUCUGCCCAUUUCAGUUCAUGAAUUAAGCUCUGUCAAUCACAGAGCUGUCUGAUGGUUGCACUGUGUAUGAUGCAUUAGCAUAGAGUGAAGUGCUCUUGGCAAAGCAGCUGGGCUGAACUAGGGCUGUUGUCCUUUGGUCACCAGGAUAAGAAGAUUCUUAUGCUGUCUUUCCUUCCUCUCAGAUCUGACAUGUCUCUUGACAAAGGACAUUCUCUUUGAAAAUUUCCCACGUGAUAUUUUGGAUGUGUGCAGUGAGAGUAUUUUUUAUUAUAAUUGAUUUCUUAAUUUAAACUUCA